AGACCUGGAAGUGAGCUCAUCAUCAAAGACGGACCAACUUGCCUUUCCAGAAGUGACAUCUUGACCCUUGGACUUCAGAGAGACAUGGAUGCAAUGGGACGGGAUGUUUUUGUCGCUGACCUGCAUGUGACACGAACAUGGCUACCUCCCACCAACUGCGAUCCCCUGCUCCAUUUCCCAAAAGAUGCUGACCAGAAAGAUGCCAUCAUCAUCCCACUGUGGAUUCCAGGGCAUUUUCUGCUGAGCGUAAGAACAUUAUACCAUUUACACAACAAUUUUGUGAGUGGCAUACAAUAUCAACAUAACAUGUUAGGACAUAUGUUGUAGAUGAUGUCUGUGUUUUAACCUUAAAGUCAUUUGUGAGUUUCCUGUGGUUUUUGGCUAAUUGUACAUCUGUUCUAUUUUCUGUAGGUAAUGAGGCCACUCCAGAAAGAAAUUUCAUUUCUGGAUUCCCAUUAUUUCAGAAGAGCAGAUGGUUUCUCCAGUCAGGCCUACAGGAAUCUGUUGAGGCAACCAUCCAUGCACUUUCAGCUGUCCAUGAAUGUUGACCAGACAAAGCCACAGAAAUGUACAGCAGUGUGACUGGAUGUAUUCUACAAACACAAGAACAGUGCUAAUGUCUAUAUGUAUUGUUUUCACAAUGUUUAUGACAGCCUCUAGGUGUAAAUGUCAUUUUUACUAAUUGCUAUUUAUCUCUGUCUCAUUAGUGAGAGGCAGCUGAUGUCCUAAUCCAUGGAACUGCUCAUAUACACGGAGAAAUUCAGAAAAGCUCUGGACUCAUCUCAUUGUGUGGACUUUUUUUAUUUUUCGAAGGUUUUUGUCAGGGCAAUAAAAGCUGUUGUUGGGUGUUUCAUUUGCCUGAACUUUUUUUCUAAAGCCAAACUUUUCUGCUUUUGUGUUUACAGCAUAUUCUUUCCAGAUUAGUGUAUGGUCAAUAUCAGUUUACUAGUCUUGUGAAUUGUAUACUUAAUGCAAAAUAUUUUAGUAAUUUCUAAAUCAAUACAUUUUGUGUCAAAGGGCCAGCCAUCAUUCCUGUUAACAGAAUAUAUGCAAUGCAUAUAUACACAUGUAAAUAUGCCCAUAAAUUACA